GGCUGCAACUCGCCUACAUGAAGUCGGAAUUGCUAGUAAUCGCGGAUCAGCAUGCCGCGGUGAAUACGUUCCCGGGCCUUGUACACACCGCCCGUCACACCAUGGGAGCCGACAACGCCCGAAGUCAGUGACCUAACCGAGAGGGAGGAGCUGCCGAAGGCGGGGUUGGUAACUGGGGUGAAGUCGUAACAAGGUACC
rnacentral:rRNA from 1 species